GAACUUGAGGCAGAACUUAAGGCAGGCGAGCUGAGAGGGAGCGGGAGCCUGGACGAUCGGACCAUCCCCCUGCUGCCUGGACUGAGCAGUAAUUAACUGAGAGUUAGAACCUGAACUUACGCCAAAGCCUGGAGCGCGCAGAGGCAGGGCCGAGCUGGGAGUGCCUGAAAUGAGCUGUGAAAAUGCAGAAGUGCUGACCCAGGCCAGAAUUCAAGGUAGGGGAAGCCCAAGGAGAAAUUUAGGGAAGUGCAGGCUGGACAGUACUGUGACCUGAGGGGGUGCCCCAGCCCUCCCGCUGGAAUGAUUUCAGGAUUGAGGAAAGCCCGGUGGGGGGGGCUGAAAUGUACAUGUUCCUAUGUAAGCGUGGAAUUCCGAAAUAUUUUAAAGGUUUUAGGAAAGAAUUCAUGUGCUGAAAUGGCCUCUUUUCAUUGCUCUGUCAGUCAAAACAAAAGUGCCCCAUAGGAAGCCAAGAACCCUAUCGACGGAGCCCUCAAUCCCAGACCUCGACUCUGAGGAUUUAAUCUAAGGAAAUAAGACAGGAGAGGCAAAAGGCAAGGCUGUAUGAAGGUGCACAAUCCGCGACGUUCCAUAAAAGCAAGAACACAAAUACGAGAUCACAUGUGACGACCGGCGAUAGUGAUAAAUUUGACAAGGCAAGGAUAAGAACCCUCACAGCCAGAAAGGCUAUGCUGACAGCUUGCCCAGGAUGAGAACUAAGCUUACGGCGGUGCCGGACCCAGAUCCUCUCCUGUCAUUCAGGCGGUCACCCACAUGGUCUUCGAAGGUUCCUCCCGCUUCCACGUCAUGCAGUAAUUCUUCCCGAGUGGUCGAUGGUUAAGUCCAAAAUGGCAGCUUCCUUGAUUGUGUUCUGCAAAGUGACCCCAAAAGCCCAAAAUUUAUUGGGCUUUAUUUUCAGGUCACUCAGCCACCCAGCAGAAGCUGAGACAUCAUUGACUGUUGCUUCUUCCAGAAAGUGUUCCACAAAGUACCACAAGCCUUGGCCUCCAUCUGUCUGGUUAGCAGAAGGUUCCCACAACAAUCAAACCAAUGGGCUUUCUCCACUUGCCCUUUCAACCUCAACAAAUGCUCUGUAGAAUGGUCUCUCCAACAGAUCAUGGCUUGUAGAUAGGGAUGUUCUUCCUUGCACAUCAAUCCUGCUUCUCCUCUUGCCUUCCAAAGACCACAGAGACAUUCCCAUCCGUGUGUCUCGGGGCAUUUGAACAGGAAGCCAAGGGAGCAACAUCAGUCACCAUAUUAAAAAUAUACAGAGAGAGAAGAAAAGGAUUAAGAUCUUCUCUAUCCAAUGUACUUGACACAUUCUGGACUCACCUGCCUGCUACCCACCAGUCCUCACCGACCAAGUUCUUAACCAAGCCACAGAGAUGUAUGUUGGGCGUAGCUCUGAGCCUCUCA